CAAGGGAGUGGCGAAAAGGGGAGGUGGGCCCAUCAACAAGAGGGGAUCACACUGCCGAUAAACGGCCAAAAUGUGAUCCCCAAUUGAGUGAGGGGCACACCACCCAUUCUAUAGGAAACCAAAAAUUUCAAGUUCCGCAUUCAGCCCAG